UUUUCCCCUUCCCUCUGCCCUGCCUCUCUUCUUCUUCGAGUCUCUCAGAUCUGCAGCCUGCGCCUCUCACUCAACCUCCUCUCCCCAAACCAAAUUCGUCGGCUCUCUCACUCGCUCUCUCUAAGUCACUCAAUCUCUCUCUCAACCGCUCUCGCUCGCCUCUGCCUCUCUCAGUCUCUCGUCUCUGCCUCUGUUCGUUCUUCCUCUCAGUCACUCUCUCUCAGUCACUCAUUCUCUCUCUCAUCGGCUCUCUCUUAGUCACUCUAGAAUUAACUUAGCCUCUCUCUCUCUCUCUCUGCCGCUUUCUCGGGUACUAUCUCUAAGUCUCUUAGUCCUUUUACUUUGUCAAUCAAGAAUUCUAAAUAGUUCUAAUAAAAGCCCAGAUCUGGAGGUUCUAGGAAGACAGACUUCUUCUCUGUUAAUGUUUUGAUUUCAACUCAGUUUCCAAAGCAACAGCCAGAGUUGAUGCUUCAAAGUUCGCA